rnacentral:rRNA from 1 species
CCUACGGGGGGCAGCAGUGAGGAAUAUUGGUCAAUGGUCGGGAGACUGAACCAGCCAAGCCGCGUGAGGGAUGAAGGUACAGAGUAUCGUAAACCUCUUUUGUCAGGGAACAAAGGCGGGGACGCGUCCCCGGAUGAGUGUACCUGAAGAAAAAGCAUCGGCUAACUCCGUGCCAGCAGCCGCGGUAAUACGGAGGAGGCGAGGGUUAUACGGAUUUAGUGGGUUUAAAGGGUGCGCAGGCGGGUUGUUAAGUCCGCGGUCCAACCCCGGGGCUCACCCCCAGCCCGCCGUUGAAACUGGCAGUCUCGAGUUGGAGCGACGUAUGCGGCAUGCGCGGUGUAGCGGUGAAAUGCAUAG